rnacentral:rRNA from 1 species
AUACAGAGGGUGCAAGCGUUAGUCGGAUUUACUGGGCGUAAAGCGCGCGUAGGUGGCUAAUUAAGUCAAAUGUGAAAUCCCCGAGCUUAACUUGGGAAUUGCAUUCGAUACUGGUUAGCUAGAGUAUGGGAGAGGAUGGUAGAAUUCCAGGUGUAGCGGUGAAAUGCGUAGAGAUCUGGAGGAAUACCGAUGGCGAAGGCAGCCACCUGGCCUAAUACUGACUCUGAGGUGCCAAAGCAUGGGGCGCAAACAGGAUUUGAUGCCCUGGUAUUCCAUGCCGUAAACGAUGUCUACUAGCCGUUGGGGCCCUUGAGGCUUUAGUGGCGCAGCUAACGCGAUAAGUAGACCGCCUGGGGAGUACGGUCGCAAGACUAAAACUCAAAUGAAUUGACGGGG